AUUGAACGCUGGCGGCAGGCCUAACACAUGCAAGUCGAACGAGUGGCGGACGGGUGAGUAAUGUCUGGGAAACUGCCUGAUGGAGGGGGAUAACUACUGGAAACGGUAGCUAAUACCGCAUACCAUCAGAUGUGCCCAGAUGGGAUUAGCUAGUGGGUGGGGUAACGGCUCACCAAGGCGACGAUCCCUAGCUGGUCUGAGAGGAUGACCGUCCACACUGGAACGGAGACACUGUCCAGACUCCUACGUGAGGCAGCAGUGGGGAAUAUUGAACAAUUGGCGCAAGCCUGAUGCAGCCAUGCCGCGUGUAUGAAUAAGGCCUUCGGGUGGUAAAGUACUGUCAGCGGGGAGGCGUUACCCGCAGAAGAAGCACCGGCUAAAUCCGUGCCAGCAGCCGCGGCAAUAC
rnacentral:rRNA from 1 species